rnacentral:rRNA from 1 species
CCUACGGGUGGCAGCAGUAGGGAAUCUUCCACAAUGGGCGAAAGCCUGAUGGAGCAACGCCGCGUGGGUGAAGAAGGUCUUCGGAUCGUAAAACCCUGUUGUCAGAGAAGAAAGUGCGUGAGAGUAACUGUUCCCGCUUCGACGGUAUCUAACCAGAAAGCCACGGCUAACUACGUGCCAGCAGCCGCGGUAAUACGUAGGUGGCAAGCGUUAUCCGGAUUUAUUGGGCGUAAAGGGAACGCAGGCGGUCUUUUAAGUCUGAUGUGAAAGGCUUCGGCUUAACCGGAGUAGUGCAUUGGAAACUGGGAGACUUGAGUGCAGAAGAGGUGAGUGGAACUCCAUGUGUAGCGGUGAAAUGCGUAGAUAUAUGGAAGAACACCAGUGGCGAAAGCGGCUCACUGGUCUGUAACUGACGCUGAGGUUCGAAAGCGUGGGGAGCAAACAGGAUUAGAUACCCCGGUAGUC